CUGCUCCUCUUCCAUUCUCCACCGAUAAUUCUCUCAAAACUCUUAUCGUUAGAACCAAGAAGAGGUGAAUAAAGUAAAAUGAUGAAGAGAAAGCUCAAUUAUGCACUUCCAUAGAUGCUAUCAUGAGUUGAGAGUUACAACGAAAUGUAAAGGAGAUUCUAUUAUAUUGGUUGUGUUGUUUCUUCUAAGGUUAAUUGAAGUGGAUCGUGAUGAAGCUUGAAGCAUUGGUGAUGGUAAUUCUGCUAGAAGCUUUAAGAUUUAUUUACGCCACUCAAAAUGGGUUCGAAUUGAACAGCAAGAGACUAGAAACUUGCACAAUGUUCUCUGGAAGUUCUUUUUCUUCUUGUAUCUGACUUGAUCAGAACUAAGGAUUACAGGCGAAGUUUAGUCUCUUAGUUUCAUUGGAGUAUUGUUGAUUGCAUGUUGAUAUUGGAGUAUUUUGUGGCGAAAACCUUCUGGCAGAAGAAGUUAUUUGAGAAUUUGAGGUGUCCAAAAAGCACUACGAAACAAGAGUAUAGUUAGCUGUUCAAAGUAUAGGUACUAGAGUACUUUUGGAUCAAUGUAACUUUUAUUGUAUAUC